CAUCAAGAAGCUACAACAGCAUUAACCUUUUAAGUUAAAGACUGAGAGUAUAGACUCUCCUUGAUGG
rnacentral:tRNA from 1 species